rnacentral:rRNA from 1 species
AACGAACGCUGGCGGCGUGCCUAACACAUGCAAGUCGAGCGCGAAAGUCCCUUCGGGGGCAAGUAGAGCGGCGGACGGGUGAGUAAUACAUAGGUAAUCUACCUUCGAGCUUGGGAUAACCCCGCGAAAGUGGGGCUAAUACCGGAUAAGACCACGUAACCAUGUUACGGGGUAAAAGGUGGCUUAUUUUUAAAUGAGCUAUCACUUGAGGAUGAGCCUGUGGCCUAUCAGCUAGUUGGCGGGGUAAGAGCCCACCAAGGCUAUGACGGGUAGCUGGUCUGAGAGGACGAUCAGCCACACUGGGACUGAGACACGGCCCAGACUCCUACGGGUGGCAG